CGCCUCCCGCACUUACUUUCCACACAAAGACGAGGGGCGCGGGGAGGCGGGCGGCGGCCCGGCCCGACCCCGGCCCCGGGGACCCUCUCGGCGGGCGGCCGGGCGGGUGGGGGGUCCCCGUGCGCGGGAGGGCAGCGGGCAUACGGGGACCACGGGUCACCCCGCGCGGCACCCGGGAGGUGCCGGGGCUCAGGGUGGGCACGCGGCGGGGCCGGGCGGGGGGCGCCGCGGAGGCGGGGGCCGCUGCGGGGAAGGGGCCCAGCGGCCGCCCGGCUCAUUGUUGCCUCCUCGGCGCUGCCGCGGGGGAGCCCUACCCGGCGCGGUGUGCACUGCCUGGCCGUGUGCGCCGUAUGCCCGCCCUCGGCGCCCCUCGCCCCGCGGCGCCCGGCGUGGACCGGGUCGCGCCCCGACGCCAGCCCCCGCCCGGCAGACAAAGCCGGGGCCGGGGAGGUUUGCCCCGCGCCGAAGGUGGCCGUGACACUGACUCCAGUCUGCAAGUAACUUUUCCUCUUUUGCCUCUUCUCUUUCUCCACUGUUCCAGUGAACCCAGCAUAUGGGGUGGUGUAACACACACAAGGAGUCCUAAUUCAAUUUGGGUUCCGUAAUUUCCCCCAGGCAUCUUUAGGUCCCUUGGAGGUGGCACUGAUGGGUAUGGCCAAGUGUUAGUGUUGUGUAGGGGAUGGUGUCCACCACUUGUGAAAUCUGCAAGAGGAAUUAGGUUGAGAGGGUAAACUGUAGAUUUCAUUCUUUGCUACAAGGUACCAAGCCUGCUUCCUUCCUCCCUCCCAAAGAUUUUAGGCAAUGACAGCGGAGCAAAGUUACUUGAUAGGAUGGGUGCGAUUUUGAGGGGUCAAAGAAAAACGGAAUGAGGGCUGUUCGACUUCACAUUCUUAAACUUGCGAUUUCUUGCUAUCAAGUACAUCGGUUUUUCUCCUCCAGCCACGUUUUCCUAACAUCACUUUGGAAAUUCUAUCGAUCCAAGUGGCUUUAAGUUGAAAUAGUGUCUGGGCUACCUGUCCAGAGAAGUUUUCUUAGCGCUGCUGGUUUCCGGUUUAAAACUUUUCGUGAGAAAAUUUUAUAUAUUAAUUAAAAAAUUGAAAAUAUAUAGAAAAAAACCACUCAUAUGCUCACCACCCAAACACACCCUAAGGAUGAAGGCAUCUUUGCUUAAUUUGUGACUUGGCAGCCAUAGUGUGUUUGUGUGUGUGUGUGUGUGUGUGUGUGUGUGUGUGUGUGGGAAAGAGGGUGGGGUGGUAAAUGAGAGCAUUACUGACCAGCCACAUCAGCCUAAAAUAUAUUUAAUCAUGAUAAUUGUACAAUAUUGGUAUGCCACUUACAUCCAAGAUUAAUACGGACAAGUUGUUUUGAAAUAUAUUUUCUUAUAGGUUUGCAAAUAACCACCUGUACAGAAGGGAGAAGAAAGAAACAGGAAAAACAAUUUCAAGAAGGGCUGGGCCGGAUCCAUCUGAAGUUUCCCUCGCCCUAAGUACUUAGGAAACGUGCUGAAGAGGAAUGGACAGUCUUACCCAUCUCAUAUCCCUAAUUCCAGUACCCCAUCAGUGAAACAAAUAAAGAUUAUUUGGCAAGCUGGA